GGCGUCGCGCGCGAGAUGCUGAGGGCGGGGCGCGCGCGCAGAGGGACGGCCCGAGGGGCGCGGACGCCGGGCUGUGGAGGGAAGGGCGGGCGCGCGCCGGGAGUAGCCGUGGGCCGCCCUCAAGGCCGAGGGCUGGGGUGCGUGGUACGACGGGCGCCAACGGGAGAAAGCUGAAUGAACAUUUGAGGGACUUCCUAGGUGGCACAGUGGGUAAGAAUCCGCCUGCCAAUGCAGGGGACACGGGUUCAAUCCCUGGUCCAAGAAGAUCCCACAUGCUGUGGAGCAACUAAGCCCGUGCACCGCAACUGUUGAGCCUGCGCUCUAGAGCCCAUGAGCCACAACUAUGGAGACCAUGUGCCGCAACUACUGAAGCCCACAUGCUUAGAGCCCGUGCUCUGCAACAAGAGAGGCCACCACAGUGAGAAGCCCACACACCACAAUGAAGAGUAGCCCCUGCUCGCCGCAACUGGAAAAAGCCCACGUGCAGCAAUGAAAACUCAACACAGCCAAUAAAAUAAAUAAAUAAUAAUUUUUAAAAAAAAGAGUGAGCAUUUGAGGUAUGGAGACCCUGAGGCCCAGCUGGGAUCCCAGGGAUGCAGGGAGGGUCCCAGCGAGAACGGCUCAAGAUGCCUUCCCUUGGCAUCCAUGUCAGUGCAGCUCAGGAAGCUGCCCAAGAGCACACAAGGGGGGUCCAAACCCAGCGCGAAUACAGGACUCGCCCCACAGGGCACCCACAGGCCCUCAGCAAGGAGCAUGUGCCCCACAGAAGGCUGUGCUGUGCUCACCAGAACUGGAGAGGCCACCUGGAAACACUUUUUUUCCAGCCUUUAGAAGAUGCUUGCACUUUCUAGAAAAUAUAUAUUGUAUAUAUGUAUAUAUUUUAUAUGUAAAAAUAUAAAUACGCACACCUACUCAGGUGUCUCCCUUGAAACUGUGGUGCGUGCACACAGACAUUCUCAUCUGAAACGGAGAGCACUUGGCUCAGGGGCAGAGCCACCUGUUUGGGAAAUCAGCAGCUGUGGUUUGUCUUACCCCUUAGGUUUCAGAUCUGCUCAGCCUGUGAUGCACAAGGCUCCCCUGGGCUUUGAUGUCAGAUAAACUCGAGGUGCCCUGUCCUUCUCUCAGGUCCCCGCAGCCUCAGCUCCUCCAUCUCUGGCUGCCCAGCACAAGAUGCAAAGUGCCCAGAGCAGCUCAGCACCAGUGGACAAAAACACCUUUAAGGAGCUCCAGCCUAGAAGGAGCUGACAGAUCCACCCUUUUAAAUUUUACACUCAGUGUGCGAGUAUAUUGAGCAUGAAUCGUAUUCACUUAUCACCCAAGUGAGAAAACAUGGAUCUUUUAAAAACCUAUCAAAUGUAAUCUUUUCCUAAGACCUCAUCUAUACAAAGACGUGAUUACUAGUUGGACCAAUCUUUCAAGACCUUUCUUUAUGAUUACUUAUUUCCUGAAAUGUCUUAUUUUUUAUUAAAAUAGCAUGUGUUAAUUGCACAAAAUUUAGAAGGAAAUAUCAAGGUGAAAGAAGAAAUUUUUUAAGUAAUCCAUAACCCGUCAGGUAUAGUGACAACCGCUGCGCAUGUUUCAGUUUUUCUCAUUCAUUUUGUGUGGAUACACACAUACAUAAAUAAAUAUGUGCAAAUAUGGGAUG